rnacentral:rRNA from 1 species
CCUACGGGAGGCAGCAGUGGGGAAUAUUGCACAAUGGGGGAAACCCUGAUGCAGCGACGCCGCGUGGGCGAGGAAGUACCUCGGUAUGUAAAGCCCUAUCAGCAGGGAAGAAACAGGACAGUACCUGACUAAGAAGCCCCGGCUAACUACGUGCCAGCAGCCGCGGUAAUACGUAGGGGGCAAGCGUUAUCCGGAUUCACUGGGCGUAAAGGGAGCGCAGGCGGCAUGGCAAGUCUGAUGGGAAAACCCGGGGCCCAACCCCGGGAGUGCAUUGGAAACUGCCAGGCGGGAGGGUCGGAGGGGUAAGCGGAAUUCCUAGUGUAGCGGUGAAAUGCGUAGAUAUUAGGAGGAACACCAGUGGCGAAGGCGGCUUACUGGACGACUACUGACGCUGAGGCUCGAAAGCGUGGGGAGCAAACAGGAUUAGAUACCCCAGUAGUC